rnacentral:rRNA from 1 species
GACGAACGCUGGCGGCGUGCUUAACACAUGCAAGUCGAACGGAAAGACCCUGCGUUUGUGGGGUGCUCGAGUGGCGAACGGGUGAGUAACACGUGAGUAACCUGCCCUUGACUUUGGGAUAACUUCAGGGAACUGGGGCUAAUACCGGAUAGGAGCUCCUGCUGCGUGGGGGGGGUUGGAAAGUUUCGGCGGUUGGGGAUGGACUCGCGGCUUAUCAGCUUGUUGGUGGGGUAGUGGCUUACCAAGGCUUUGCAGGGUAGACGGCAUGAGAGGGUGACCGGCGUCAUUGGGACUGCGAUACGGCGCAGACGCCUACGGGAGGCAGCAGUGGGGAAUAUUGCACAAUGGGCGGAAGUCUGAUGUAGCAAUGCCGCGUGCGGGAUGACGGCCUUCGGGUUGUAAACCGCUUUCGCAUGUGACGAAGCGUGAGUGACGGUAAUGGGUAAAGAAGCACCGGCUAACUACGUG